AAGCACACACUUCAGCUCUCACUCACUGAAAUCAUACUCCUGUGGCUUUCCUAGGCUCGUCCUGAAUGCUGGUGUCUCUAUAAUUCUGGAAUCUUCGGGGCACCACCUCUCCUGUAAAUAGUUAAGAGAGGCCCCACAGCAGCACACUGAAUGCUUUGCUGUUUAGAGAUUUCUUCUGCAAAAUAUCCCAGUUCAUCACUCUUAAGUUCUGGCUUCGGUAGAGUCCUAGGAUAUGACCACAAUUCAUCAAAGUUCUUUGCUACUUUGUAACAAGGAUGACAUUACCUCUAUUUUCCAACGCCUCACUACUCAUCUCUGUCUAAGACCUCAUCAGAAUGGCCUUCACUGUCCAUAUUUCUACAAACACUUUGUUCACAGAAAUUGAGGCUUUUUUCCAGUCUUCACUACCAAACUAGUAUUUCCACCAUACAAAUACAAUAGGCAUACCUAAUCUAAAAGCAUAGAUAAUGGUAAAAGAAGUGGGAAGUGAGUCUUGAUUAUUUAUUGCCUUUAUUUUAACAUAAUUAAUUUAACUGUAAU
rnacentral:lncRNA from 1 species